UGUCAAGCAAUUACAGAUCAAUUAGCUUGGAUCUUGGUCCUAUAUGUAUUAUUUUGUAGGAUAAUUUCAAAGAAUCUAAAGGAUAUAACUUCUACCAUACUAAAGAACAAGAGUUGUUCGAUAUUCUUUUUAGAAAAAGAAUACCUUAGUGAAGGUACUGAUGCCUUUAAUAUGAAACUUAUGAAGUUCGACAGAUAGAAGAAUCGACAUAAUCUAGUGAACCCAUUGAAGCAGAUUUGAUCAGAUCAAACUCGAAAUCAGUUGUAAAGGCACCAUUAA
rnacentral:lncRNA from 1 species